rnacentral:rRNA from 1 species
CGGGGUGGAGUAAUGCUUGGGAAUCUAGCUUAUGAGGGGGAGUAACUACGGGAAACUGUAGCUAAUACCGCGUAAUAUCGAGAGAUUAAAGUGUGGGACCUUCGGGCCACAUGCCAUAGGAUGAGCCCAAGUGGGAUUAGGUAGUUGGUGAGGUAAAGGCUCACCAAGCCGACGAUCUCUAGCUGGUCUGAGAGGAUGACCAGCCACACUGGGACUGAGACACGGCCCAG